GACGUAGGGCGCGAGCGUUGUCCGGAUUUAUUGGGCGUAAAGAGCUCGUAGGCGGCUUGUCGCGUCGACUGUGAAAACUCGGGGCUCAACUCCGAGCUUGCAGUCGAUACGGGCAGGCUAGAGUUCGGUAGGGGAGGACUGGAAUUCCUGGUGUAGCGGUGAAAUGCGCAGAUAUCAGGAGGAACACCGGUGGCGAAGGCGGGUCUCUGGGCCUUACCUGACGCUGAGGAGCGAAAGCGUGGGGAGCGAACAGG
rnacentral:rRNA from 1 species